ACUUAAUUAGCUUAAUGAGAGCGUUACAUUGAAGGAGUAAAGGUGAAUUUUCUUUAAGUA
rnacentral:tRNA from 1 species